CGGCACUGUACGGUUCAGCUUGAAUGACAAACGUUCAGAUGGAAGCACCACGCUGUCUGAAAGUGGCCAUGGUAGAGUACCCAAUCAUGAUGGAGGUGUUCGGUUCGCCGCCAAACGUAACCUACGUUGGUCCUGUUGUGACGCUGCUCCAUCUCCUAGCUGACCAACUCGAUCUUUGCUACGAGUUUCUAGAUCUCCGCUUCGAGCAGUAUGGUCAACUGAUGGACAAUGGCUCGUGGACGGGGCUCAUGGGACUGCUGCAGAGAAGCG